rfam:Myotis lucifugus cont2.8746, whole genome shotgun sequence.
GGUGGUUCUUGGGUGAUGCACCCCGGAAUCCGGCUCCCUCAUCUCUGGUUCCGGAUGCGUCAUCCAAGAAUCACA